GGAGGGGUUUAGCGGGUAGGCGUCGACUCGCACACUUUGUGAUAGUGGUCGAUGAAUCCCGCACUGCUUGGUCUAUUAGCUAAUUUGCUGAUAGCCCAGGUGUCUUCUGAAGAUUCCCCUCCC
rfam:Anopheles minimus strain MINIMTS1 unplaced genomic scaffold supercont1.5, whole genome shotgun sequence.